rnacentral:rRNA from 1 species
UACGUAGGGUGCAAGCGUUGUCCGGAAUUAUUGGGCGUAAAGAGCUCGUAGGCGGUUUGUCGCGUCUGCUGUGAAAACCCGAGGCUCAACCUCGGGCCUGCAGUGGGUACGGGCAGACUAGAGUGCGGUAGGGGAGAUUGGAAUUCCUGGUGUAGCGGUGGAAUGCGCAGAUAUCAGGAGGAACACCAAUGGCGAAGGCAGAUCUCUGGGCCGUAACUGACGCUGAGGAGCGAAAGCAUGGGGAGCGACCAGG